rnacentral:rRNA from 1 species
UACGAAGGGGGCUAGCGUUGUUCGGAAUCACUGGGCGUAAAGCGCACGUAGGCGGAUCCUUAAGUCAGGGGUGAAAUGCCGAGGCUCAACCUCGGAACUGCCUUUGAUACUGGGGAUCUCGAGUCCGGGAGAGGUGAGUGGAAUUGCGAGUGUAGAGGUGAAAUUCGUAGAUAUUCGCAAGAACACCAGUGGCGAAGGCGGCUCACUGGCCCGAUACUGACGCUGAGGCACGAAAGCGUGGGGAGCAAACAGG